GUAGUUUCCUGUUUUCUGAGUUCAUAUAAUUGUUUUUAAUUAUUUUUUUUUUUAAAUUUGGUUCAACCCCUCAAUUCGUCGUUAUUUGGUUCAAAACAAAAUAUCUGGUGAUUCUAUCAUAUUCAUGAUUUUCCUUGAUUUUUCUUACUGAGCUAACGGAAAUGUAAUUGCUAUCGUAUGCUAAUCAUUUCAGGUUAUCUAAAGUCAACAAACUCAUAUUUUUGUCAACGUAAAUCAUGGAAAUUUCCGAAAUUGAAGAGAAUAUGUUUGCGCUGGGUGAACCGAAGGUGUUGACCGUUUUCCCCGACUUAGAACCAGAUCAAAACGAGAAGGCAGAAGAAUUCCAAUAACUGGAUCAAAGAUAGAAACUAUACCGGCCGAUGAUUACUCUUUUUCGCUUUCCCUCUAAUUUUCCACUUGAAAUUGACUCUCUCUCUCUCACACACACACACAUACAUAAACGUACAGGCAUGUAGUAGUUUUAAUAGUUGCAUAUGGGUUGUUUUGCAGGUUUACAAAGGAUGGAGUGUUAGCUUCCAUUUCAUCACCAAGUUUACAAUUUUGAUGAAACAACACAAAAGGUACAUUUUUUUUGUUUACUUAUAUCUGAUUCAUCCAUCAUCUAUAAUCAUCAUAUUAGUUUUUUAAAUCAACUUAUGUUACUAGACCUUGGGUAACCAUAUUAAAAAUCAUUUUAGGUUAUUAGACCUCAGCAAUUUAAUGAUUUCUUAUUACUUGAUCAGAUUUCAUUGAUUGUUUGUAGUUUUGGUGAAUUAUAGUGUUGUUGGUUGAUUCCAUACGAGUAAGCGACUGUUUCUUUUUUAUUUUAUUGGCUAAGCACUUGAUAUUGACCCCAUUAAAGGUUUUUUUCCUGAAAAACACCCUCACUUUUACACCAGUCAUGAUAGGCAUCAGAGUAAACUAUCAAAGAAGCAUCGAACUCUUAAUGUUUUCUUGGUAGUUGGUGAUUGUAUCUUAGUUGGAUUACAGCCAAUUUUGGUGUACAUAUGUAAGAUGGAUGGGAAGUUGAGCUUUAAUGCUAUUAGUGUGAAUUUUUUGACAGAAGUUGCAAAGGUUACAAAUUAGAAGGCUGGAGGCAAGCCACUUCUUUCAGUCCCCGAUUUUAUACAGGUUUGUCUUGAGGGAAGGUCUGCUGGACAAUGGUAACUAAACAUGAUUAAGAAAACCAUUGAUGAAGGUUCAACUUUUCAUUGUGUUGGUUCUUGACAAUGCUCAUUGGAGUAUGCUGGUUAAAAUUUUCAGUUGUUAUUUUCCUAUUUCUUUUGGCUCUUUUGUAAAUGAUGAAACAUCCAAAAAAAAACAUCAAGCUUCUAUAAUAAUCGACGGCCUCCAAUCCUCGCAGCGCGGGGUUUCAUCACUAGUUUGAAUUCUAUUUUUUAGAGAAAAUGUGGUGUUUUGGAGAGAAUGAUUA